UACGUAGGGUGCAAGCGUUAAUCGGAAUUACUGGGCGUAAAGCGUGCGCAGGCGGUUUUGUAAGUCUGACGUGAAAUCCCCGGGCUUAACCUGGGAAUGGCAUUUGGGACUGCAAGGCUUGAGUGCGGCAGAGGAGACUGGAAUUCCUGGUGUAGCAGUGAAAUGCGUAGAUAUCAGGAGGAACACCGAUGGCGAAGGCAGGUCUCUGGGCUGACACUGACGCUCAUGCACGAAAGCGUGGGGAGCAAACAGG
rnacentral:rRNA from 1 species